GGUCAUCACGAGGGGGCAGCCGGGGAUCAUCCACAUUGGGCUUAAGAACAACUCUACAAGUGAGUUUGGACACCACACUCUUACCCAAAACCUUAAGGUGUUAGGUUUAUGGGUCAUCUCACUUNNNNNNNGUAUAGAGUAUAAGCAAAUCUAUCUCUUUGCCUUGUUAAUAAUAUUGUCUUAAUUCAAUUUUAUUUUCAAAGACUUUCAUAUUUCUAACAUACUAGAUUUCAUCGAUAAUGUAGACAAUUUGUUCCAAGAUAUCUCGAUUAGAAUGGAGAAUGAUAUAGUUCAACCAACCAAUAAAAUUCACAUUAACACAAAAGUUAAAAUUUAUACCCAUAUAGUAGAACCAAACCACACCCUCUUAGUAAUGUUGCAUGCAUAAAAUUAUGGUUAAUACUCUCUAAUCCUUGAUCAAUUUAAUAUUAUAUAUUAAAUUAUAUUUGUUAUUCUUUUUAUCUGAUGUGUUUGUCAAGUUCCUUGGGUAUUCAAGUAAUCACUCAUGGUCGCACAUGAUAAAAACGGGAAGCAUUAAUAUUGAUUCAUUGGGGAGAAAUUCAUUAACCACAUGAAUUGAAUCACUUGGUUUAACUUCAUUAAGACGAAACACACAAUGAUCCAAAACAUAUUAUAUUUUGGAAAAGAAACUAUUUUAGGUGAUUUUGUUCAUAUAUUAGUGUAUUUUUUAAAAGUUUAAAAUAUUAUUUUUAUAAAUAUGAUAUAGACUAUAUUUUCUCUCUACUUCAAAAACAUUCUGAAUCAAAUUAAUGAACACCGCAACAAAAUAAAAAUCAAACGGGAAUCGCACUAAGAUAGAAAAUCAAACUACGCCACUGAAACGUCAAAAUCACAAAGAAAAAUAAAAUGAAAGAAAUAUAAACAUCCGAUAUAUGUUGAAACCACUUAUUUAUAUUAAAGGGAAGAAGAAAAAAAUGUAUAUAAAUGAUUCCGGAUAAACAAAACAUAAUCAUUCAUUUUCAACGAAAGAAGAAUAAAAAAACUUGGAAAAAAAAUUAAGCCUUUCUCUCCAAAAAAUUAGGACCGGCAUCUAUCCAACACUUACGCGAUACUAUUAUUUAUGAAAUAUUUUAUUUGUUCAAAUAAUGGUUCAUCUCCCUUUGGUUCCAAUAGUUCCAUCCCAUGAAAACCUUUCCCAAAGUAACUCACAACUUCAAUCCCUUUGUGUCUCAACAUCUCCACAAAUUUAACUUGACGAUCAAUCAAGGGGUCUCCAUCACAACCUGUCAAAAGAAUCUUUAAUCCCAACCGUUUGAUUUUAUCAAAACAUUCACCAUCUUCUUCAUCAACAAUCAUUGGAUUACAAAACUUAUGGUCCCUACCUACACCCUCGGGCAAUGAAAACUCCCACAUUAGAUCACUCGCCUUAAGAGGCAAAGCUCGAUCAUUUUCGAAUCUCAACUCUGUAUUUGUCCUUUUGGACCCACCAAAAAAUGGAUGGUGCAAUAUCAACCCUCUGAUCUUAAAUUGGUCAAAAUCAACUUCAUCAAUGGUUUUAGCCACACGUAAACUUGCGUGGUAUGCGAUGUUCCCUCCCGCACUAGAUCCCAUAAGGUAACAAUUGGACACAUCACAAAAUUGAAGCACCCAUUUUUCACUUGUCGUUUGCAACCAAUGUAAUGCCUCAACCGCGUCAUCAUAGGCGGUAGGGAGGCGGUAUUCUGGCGCAAGACGGUAAUCCACUGAUGCAACCACGACGCCAAUUUUUUCCGCUAAUUUGACGCAAAAGUCGUGGUUGAUUGUUGAAGAAGCGCUAAAGAAUACAAAACCACCUCCAUGAUAGUAAACAAUUAGAGGGAGUUUCUUAGAAGUGUGAAGUGCUAUCCUAGGUAGGAACAAACGUAUGAAAGUUUUGUUAAUAGGGUUUAGAAGGACAUCUUUGGUGAGAACAAUGUUGUUUGGGUCUUGUGUGGGUUCAGUGCUUGGUAUUUUCACAUUCCUUGUGACACUACCAUCAGGAUUUAUGAUAAUAGGUUGGAUCUCUGAAGGAUCAACGGUGGGAUUUGAUUCUAAUGGUAAAGCUUCUUUUGGUUCAUGUUUAGACAUGAUGGAUUGUUCUUUUGCCUGAUUCACAUGUAGCCCCUUAGUUGAUUGUUAGAUUUAAUGAAUAAUGAGUAGUUGGUUCUAGACCAAUAAUAAUGCUUACAAUGAAUAUAGAACACCAAGUUUAUAUAAUAAUACAUGGUAUAAAUUAAUGUGACUGUUUAUUUAAAUUUUUUGAAACGUGAUUUUUGUAUUUAUUCUCCUUUAUGAAAUGUGACUGUUAUAUUUAUUUUUUUCCAUUACGAAACGUGACUGUUAUAUACUUAUUAAGUUACUAUUUUUACUGUCAAAAAAAAAAGUUACUAUUUUAAUAGUUAUUUUUUUCAUUGUAAAAGUCACAUAAUUUUAAUAUUUAUAGUAUGUUUUAUUUUUAAAAAAAUAAAAUAAAAAACUGUAACAUAAAGUUUAUUUUUAUUGUUAAUCAUAAAAAUUUAUUCUUACAGUAUUAUUUUUAAAAAAAAUAUGGUACAUUGUAUCAUAUAAAAAUGAACAAUGAUAAUAUUUUAGAGGAGUAUUUUUUAGAUUAAAAAAAUUGUUAGAUAUUUACAAAUUCUCAUCUAUGGAAACAAAAAAAUCCAAUAGAAAGCCCAGUGGACCCAAAAUGAAAAUUUACCAAUAUAACAGUCCAGUAGGCAUAAAGGCAAAAUGAAAAUUUAUUUCAUGCCCCCACUUAAUAUCUAUACCCUUCCCAAACACCUAAUAUUCAAAAAGCAUAAUUUUUUUAAACCAUGUCAAAAGUACGAAGAUUUCACCACUAUUUAUUACUCCCUACGUCCCUAAUCUUUGGUCCUUUAGUUUUUUACUUUUGUCCCAAAAUUUAGUUUUUUUAAGAAAUCAAGUUACAAUCAAUCAUGUUUUACCGUUCUCUUAUAAGAACUAAAAGCAUCCAUUAACAUCUAAACGAACAGUAGCCUUCUAUCUCCUUUUAUUAUUCACUGAUGCAUCGAAAUAUUUAUAAUUAAAAUCUUUCACCGAAUUCUAGAAUUUUGCCACAAAAUAAUAUAAUUAGCUCUAGAAAGAGGAGAAAAUUUGAGAAGAUAAAAUACGCCAUUCGUUCACCUCGUUCUCAUCUAACGAAGACUCUUUACCUUUUAAAUCAAAAAUCUCACAUUUGACAUAAAAGAAUAAUUCAAUCUUUCAUGACUUAUUCAAUCUCGCAUUUGUUUGUUUUUUUACUUUUAUUUUCUAUGGUAUGGUCUAGCCCUUCUUUUAUAUAUAUAUAUAAAAGAAGGGAUAGACCAUACCAUAGAAAAUAAAAGAAAAACAGACAAACAAAAACAAAAGAAAAGGAAAAAAAUAUCUAAAAAUAGAGGAAGGCCUAAAACCCUAGUCAAUCCAAACAAACGUAUUAUUGCGAGUACUAAUUAGAGUUCUGAAUUCUACCAAAUGAAUUGACCGUCAACACGAAAACAAAUUUAUGUAAUGUCAACUCCCUGCAUUAAACGACAACAAACAUUAAAGAAAAACUAUAACGAAGAACUAAUAUGUAACGAAGAACCGUCACAUCACAUGAAACAUAAGUAACAACGCUAAGAAGCAAGCAACCACCGCCAAUACUUUUUUAGGUUGUCGUCACUGUAUCUUUGUUACUACCCAGAUGGGGUAUCACAGUGAUGCAGAGAGUCUCAUGGGGAACUUACUCUCAUCGCACCACCACCAUAUGAACUAUAUCGUGAUGGAGUUACAUGAAUUUGGAACAAGAGGAUGAUAUUGUAGGAGAGGCAGAUGACGGAGGACUUCAUAUGUUUUAUUCUUAAUUUUGAAUAUACAUGUUCUUUAAAAAUAGACAUAAAAAUCAAAAGAUACCCAUAUUUGACAAUAAAAUUUCAAUGUCAACAUUUCUCUAACUAAAAACUCUCUUACCAUCAACAAGUUCUAACUCAAUUAACAAAUAUCAAUAUUAUAUGUCAAAUACAAUAUAAAACGCAAUUAUGUGCAAGUUUAAAUGGUAUUUCAAUCCGUUAGAAUGAAGAAAGAAAAAAAAAACAAAUACCAUCUUGUAUUUCUUUUUCUUUACGGUAAAUUAGUCUCUCUUAUUUGUUGGCUAGAUAUUGUUAGAUAAUAACAUAUUGGGUCAAUGCUAUUAGGCCCAUUAAGUUUAGAGUCCACUAGGUUUGGAUAUAUAAUAUCUUGUAAUUCUAUUUUAUAAUGGAAUGUUCAUUGCAAUGUAAACCCUAGCCGUUUUUUGCUCCUUUUCUAUUUUUCUUUUCUCUUUGAUUGAUUGUGUUGUUAACAUGGUAUCGAGAGCUUGUUUCGACCCUCUUUAAAUUGUAUGUUGUUAUUCCGCUGCAGAGUUCUCGAUAAUUUAGGAAUGUGUAUGUGUUGCUUUGUCUUUUUGUUGGAACGCAAGAUUGGUUUUGUGGAUUUAAAGGUAGGUUUCUUUUUACGUUGUUUAGUUUUGCAAUUCGGAUAGUAAAGGUCGUUUUGAUUGCUUGUGUUGGUUCCAUCUACCCAUUAAUUUGAAGAAAAAUGUUGGAUAAUGGAGUUCAAGAUUUUACUUCCGUCAUUGAUUUUUGUAAGCAAGCUGGAGAAUCAAAUUUGUUUUGUGAUCUGGAGUUUAUUCAUUGGCCACUGCAUACUACCAGAGCUUGUUGAAGUUUUGCAAAUUGAAUUGGCAUUUGAGUGGUGCUUCUAUGAUGGAUUUGGUUGUUGGUUUAUUUUUCUUCAUGGUGGAGUAGUGGUUUUGUAAGACAAGUUGUUGCCUUUUAUGCUUCUGGUAUGUUUUGGUGUUUGGUUCUUCUUUCUCUUUUGUUUUGUUUUGGGUUCGUUUUGUAGUUCCGUUAGAUUUGAUCUUGUUGACUUAGUUUCAUUUGGUUCAGUUUGUUGAUUCCAAAAAAAAAAGCAGAUUGAUUCGGUUAGGUUAUGUUCUGUUUGGUUUUGUUUGUUUGGUGAGUCAAAAUACUCACAAUUUGGUUGUUUGGCGAGUCAAGUGCUCACAAUUUGAUUUCUUUGGAUUGAUUAUCUCUUUAUUGGUCUCUCUUGUUUGAUUGUCUCUCCCCCUUUUGAUUCUUCUAAUUGGUUAUCUAUCUCUCUCUAUAUGUUGGUUUCUCUUCUUUGAUUGUCUUCCUCUCGUUGGUUUCUUGACUUCUUCAUCUAUGUUUGAUUGCACUUCUUGUCGAUUCUUCUGAUUGGAUUGCAUUUCUCUUCGUCAAUUCUUCCGUUUGAUUGCUUCUCUCUGAUGAUUUCGUCUGUCUAAUUGUUUCUUUCUAAUGAUUUUGCUUCUCAUUGAUGAUGUUUUUGUCUGAUUGCUUCUCCCUGCUGAUUUUCUUAAGUCUCAUCUUCUCUCUCUAAUGAUUUCUCUUCUGUUGGAUUGCUCACCUCUGCCUGUUCUUCUAUUUUGGUUGCUUAUCUUUCUUUUGACUGAUUCUUCUGUUUGGUGGUUUGGUUCUUUUUAUGUUGGUUUGGAUUAGUUUUUAUGAUUUGGUUCAGUUUGGAUUGGAACAAUUUGAUUUGGUAAAGUUUGGAUUUGUUGGAUUGGUUAGCUUGGACUGAAUUGGAUGAUGAAUUGGUUUGUCUCUCUCUCUGAUGAUCUAUUUGGAUGCUUCUAUAUGAUGGUUUCUCUCUUUGAAUGCAACUUCUCUCUCGGAUGAUUACCCACUUUGCUUCUAUAUAAAGUUUACUAAGCUUUAUAGCUUGAGGAGUAGUGUUAGAAGUUUAUAUUAUUUGGUAUGUUUUUAGUAUUUUGUUUGACAAACUCACAAUGCUAUGCAUCAUGAGUUUGAGGGUAGGUGUUAGAUAAUAACAUAUUGGGCUGCUAUUAGGUCCAUUAGAUUUAGAGUCCACUAGGUUUGGAUAUAUAAUAUCUUAUAAUUUUAUUUUAUAAUGGAAUGUUCAUUGCAAUGUAAACUCUAGCCGUCUUUUGUUCCUUUUCUAUUUCUCUCUUCUCUUUGAUUGAUCUUGUUGUUAACAGAUAUGAUAUGAUGUGCUGUGUAUUAAUUCUACGCCGGUCCUCUUGCUACUAAUAAUUAAGGCCCAAUAUAACUAUAGAGAGUAUAACUAUAGGGGUGGCCUCCUGCUAUGGAUAAAUUUAUAGUGCAAAAGUGUACAUGUUGUUUUUAAUGUUUUGCUAACUAGUGCAUCAUCCGGUACACUAAUAGGAAUUAAAAAGAAAAAUAAAAGAAAUAUAUAUAUAUAUAUUGAAAAAAUUUAAAUUUAAAAUUUGAAGGUAUUUGACUAUAUAAUUUUUUAUAAAUUGUUUUAAAAUUUGUACUCUUAACUAUUGCAGCUGUGAUAACUCAAAAAGAAAAAAACUAGUGUCCUGAUGCACUAGUUAGCAAAUGUUUUGUUUUUGUUAUUAGAUCAAAAAAUCUUACCAUUAGAUCAAAUGAAAUAUAAUAUAAUAUAUUAGUUAAUAUUUAAAUGUAUUAUUUAUUAAAUCAAAAUAAAAAUAAAUUUAUGUAUGGUGAAAGAUUUAUCUCGUAUCUUAAACAAAGCCUUAAUUAACAGGUACUAUGCAUUGAUUACGUUUGUAUAAUAAUAAUUAAACACUGUAUGCACCUAUUCGUGCACAUUGUACUUGCUACACAAGAUAUGCGCUGCAUAGUUUAAUUCUUCAACUUUACCUAUGUUGUUACUAAGAAAUUCAGGUAAAAAAGUGUUUGUUGUCUCCCUCCAUACCAACAAUUUUCACUAGCUCUGGUCCAUAUAUACAUUUAUCUAUUUGGGACCCAAAUUCCAUGCUAUGAGAGAAUCCUACACAUAAAUAAAUUAGGUAUUUGAUCCAAUUCAAUAUUAUAAAAUUAGCUUGUAAGUUGGGGAUUGAGAUUUCUUAACACACUCUCAGUCCAACGGUGCGUGAAUAUAAAUGGUUGGUGGCUCGAUAGUUGAUGGUCCAACAGAUCUUAAAAGGACUCUGAUAUCAUCUUAGAUUUUUAUAUUGAACUUAACUUAUCUUUACACAACCGACUUGUAAAGUGAAGAUUACCUCUUAUGAACGUAUAUUUAGAUCAUCUCAUAUUCGAUGUGGGACUUCUUAAUAAUACACAUGAUUGACAAUUUCGGUCAUUAUUUUAAGAUCGGAUUAUGGGUUAAAUUAUCGUUAAGAAUCGAGGCAAAGAGUAAUGAAAAAUAUGUUUGAUGGAACACUUUAAUGCAACUAGAGACGAAUCCAAAAAAAAGAUGCAACCGAAAAUAUUAUGAGGGGGAGGGGCGAGAUAGCGGAGUUUGACUUUAUUUUAGAAUAAUAACUUAUCAGCUUACCUCUACAUUGUAGGAUCGAAUUGAUGUGUAUUCGAAUCAUAGGAGCUAGUAAUCGACGGUAUGCUUAUAUUGGUGACAUUGUUGUUGCUGUAAUAAAAAAAGUCGUACCAAAUUCAAGGUUUUAGUGAUGAGUCAUUUGGACAGGUUCUUAUUAUCGGAAGCUUUGUUUCGAACUUGGCCAGCAAGGUAGGACUCAAUGGUGACAGAGUUAUCACAUCAUUGUCCCAUUUUGUUAUGCAAAUUAGUUCACAAUCUGGGUUCAAAACAUUUUCAAAUAUUAAAUCUUAAAGGAAUUAGAGAUAUAUCACAUAAUGGAGUAUUUGUUAGAGAGCAAUGGCACAACAUGCAGGUAGAAGGGUGUGCCAUGUAUAUAUAUGUAUUUGAAGAAAACCUCAAACGCACAAAAAAAAAAAAUGUUAAAAGAAUGGCAUAAAAAUCAUACUCAUAACUUGUGAGGAAAAAUUAAAGAGGAAAAAGAAGAGAUUUUUGAUAUAUUAAAAAAUGAUUUUGAUAUUCGGUGGCUUAAAUAUUCAUGUAAAGAUAUUUUAGUUUAAUAAAAAUAACUUUUUUAUUUUAAAAGGGUCUCUCAAAAAUGUUUUAUUUUUUUUAGAAAAUAAAGACAUUCAUUCACUUCAAUAAUUGAUAGAAUAUAUCAGAUGCAAAUAUAAAUUCAAAAUCGCUAAAAAUAAAAGGAUGAAUCUGCGAACAAACUCACAUUAUCCAAAUUAAUAGCAUCCAACGACAAAAUGCCUACAAAUAAUAUGAUACAAUCAAAGUGACCGGAACAAGACGUCGAUGCACAAAUCAUUGAUUGAAUCUGCAUUUAAUCACGUUGAUCUUUCAAUAUGAACUAAAGAACAACGCAACAACACGGAAAAUCAAACAGCAUCAUACCAAGACGACUACCAACAAAACGCCGCAAGCAGACGACGACACCACAACAAAAGAAAGAAACUAAAAAACACAAUAUGUGAAUUCACUUAUUUAAAUUAAAAGAGAUAAAAGAAAAAAAUGCUGAGAAUCACCCCUCACCCGUGAAGGAAGAAGAAGAAACUCAAAGAAAGAAUGAAAAACUAGGGUCGGCUGAGAUAGGGGUUCAAAAAUGAUCUUUUUUUUUUUAUAAACAAAAAAAAUGAUAGCUAUUUAUAAUACUAGCUUCUUAUUUUAAAGAUUCUUUUAAAUUUUAUCAUUCAAAUAAAAUAAAAAAAACACCGUCUAAUCUAAUUCGGGGAUCAAUUUUGAUAUCGAGUGAUUUCCAACUCCCUUUCCAAUCACAUCAUUCAAAUAAUUUUGUAACAAUAAUAUCAAAGAACUACAUUAUUUGUUAGCAUGGCAUAAUAUACCGUAAAAAAAACAAACAUUGCUUGAAAAUAAAGGAAAAUCUAAAAAAGGAAAAUGACAGAUGAAAAUGAAAGGCAAAAACUUGCAAAAGCCAACAAUGGACAAACAAUAGCAACAUAGAAAACAAAUUAUAGUUUUUUUUUAUUUAUAUUUAAAUUUAAAAUUAAAAUGAAUAGAGAGAAGAAGAAAUUCUGAACAAAGCCAAAAUUGUCAUAAUAAGUAAAGCAAUGCCUCAUUGAAGCAGAGUCAUCCCUUCGUGCAGUCUCCAUCUCACAUCUCAAAACCCAAAAACAUAACAAGCCCACAAAUAUAUAUAAAUUAAAAAAAAAUAAAAAAUAACAUCAAACAAACACAUGCUUCUAAAAACCUCACUCACACACUCAUAGUUUCAUUAUAACCUCUCUCUAUCACUCUUACACUCCAGCAUAACAAACAACAUUGAAUGAAUUAACUUCAACCCAAAAACAAAACAUUAAAAAUAUGGAAAAAUAAUAUAUUUAUAUAGUAUUGUUAACUAGUGUCCUAGAACACUAAUCACAAAACCAAAAAAUGUAAAUUUUAUGUUGAAAAAAGUUUUUUUUUCUUUUUUUUUUACAAUUUAAAUAGAAUGACACAAAUUUCAAAAUUGUUUUACUAUUCGUCUUAGAAAAAAAUCAUUAACCACUUAAAUUCAAUAUCUUCGAUAAAUUAUUUUAUUGAUUUUUUUUAUAAGCAAAAUUGAAUUAUAAAUACAAGAAGUACUCAACAUCACUUACAAUUCAAGGAAACCAUGUUAGAUGCUUUGAAAACAAACCAAUAGGUAAAAUACACCAAUCAGAAAAAAUAAGAUGAGAAGUUUUUCGUACACGUCCUAUAAAUCAAAACCAGGAAAAUAAAAAUAGUUUAGUCUACUAUGGAGGACAAAGUUACUAUUUCAGCCCUAAACAUCAUAUUAUUGCGAGUUCGCCAUAAAAUGACUAACCAAAUUAUUUUAUUAGUUUAGUUCCUAGUUCGAAAUAUUUGUUAACCAUUUCUUUAUUUAUAAUAAUUCUCAUAGUAGCGUUUUUCAGAAAUAGUACGAUAUGAUAAAUUGACAACUCCUCUCUAAUCAUGCACUUACACCUCUCGCUAUCUACCUUUUUUUCAUUAUCAUUCAUGAUCAUAUGAAAUCAUUAUAGUGUAUAAUAAGUAGAUAAAUUUUUCAAAUAUAUAAAUUUAUUUUUAAGGUUAAAUACAUUUUUCAUCCUUUAAAAAUUAAUAAAUUUUAGUUUUCGUCCUUAUAAAAUAAAGUCACAUAUUUUUAUCCCUUAAAAUUUUUUGUUUUGUUUUUAGUCUUUAAUGACAAAAUUUAUAUGUUAAUUUUAAUGUCAAUGUUAUAACUUUUUUAUGUUCAAGAUAUGUCUAUAUAUUAUAUUAAACCUAUAUAAGUUCAUAUUAUGUUCAAAAUCUAUCAAAAAUAUGUCAAUUUUUUUUUCUAAUAGGGACUAAAAACAAAACAGAAAAUAUGAAACAUGUACGUGAUUUUAUUUUAACGGGACGAAAACUAUAAUUCAUUAACUUUAUAGGAUUAAAAAUUAUAUAUAACCUCAUAUCUAAAUCUCAACAAAUCAGCUCACACCGGUUCUCUUUAAUUUCAACUAGAAACCUCCACUUCUAUAUACUGAGCAACGCCAUAUUAAAGAGCUCUAAAUUCUUGACCCCUAAACCUUCUUGGUCCUUAGGUAAAUAAAUUUGAUCUCAUUUGACCCAACACUGCUUCUUCUCCUCAAUAUUACCUCCCCAUAAGAAAUAUUCAAACUGGAAUACAUAUCGUUCUGAUAUGAAUAUGCAAACUGGAACACACAUUAUGUUCAUUCCAAUAACAAUAUUCAAAUUAGGAAACUCGUACAAAGUGUUCCGAUUUGAGUUUCAAACAACUUACUCUCUAUUUUCAUACUACCUUCGUCCCAAAAUAAUGGUCCUUACGCCUACCAAUGCAUAAUUUGAAUCAUUAAUAUCUUUAGUUUUUCUUUUCCGAAAAAUUAUAAAAAUUUAAAAUUGUGAAAAUAUUCAUUAAGACAAAUCAAACAAGAUCUUAUUUACUAACAUUUGUCUUUAUACAUUAGUAAAAAAAUAUAGUCAAAAUAAAUGUUAACAGUCAACAAGGACAAUUGUUUUAAAAAUAUUUAUUGUUGGGUUUUGAAUGUUGGCUACAAUUUUGCAAAAACAACAAUAGCUAAAUGUUGGACCAAGAUGUCGUAGCAUGUCCGUACAACAUGUGUCUCUUGAAGCAGCGCGCCAGAAAUUCUGUUUUAUAUCUUUUUGAAGAUUUGAUUUACAAAUAAAGUCGUACUUAUCCAGUAAGCUAAAACGUGCUUUCUACUGCAAGAUACCUAAGACAGUUUGUUUUAUUUGUUACAAAAAUAUGUUUUAAUAUUUUUGCAUCAAAUAUUUUUUGAAGAAAUUUUUUUUUGGAGUAAAUCUUUUCUCUAAGAAUUAUUUUUUGGAGUGCAUACUUUAUUGAAGAAUUAUUUUCAAGUAAAUAUUGUGAGCUGGCCAUUGAAGAUUCUAGCCAAUUAUUUCGAAGACCUAACUUGGGCAUCAAGAUUAUUCAAGACUAUAAAUACGAAGACCUAAACCUUGUUUUAUUCAUGUAAUCUAAGCCGUGUUUUACUAAAGCGUGAGUUUUAGGGUUUAGAGUGUUUAUUGUUAAUUGUGAGCCUCUCUUGUGUCACAUUGAUACAAGCUUAGGACUAGAGUUUGAGCUGUAAGUUGUGUACUAACUCCAAAGCUUUUAAGCAAGGAGGUUAGGUAGUGGUGAUCGUAACCUUAAGCUUUUAUGUACGAGUUACUAUCGUUUGUGUCUUGAAGGGUGACUUCGCCAUUGUUCUUCAUUGUAUACUAUAACAGGUUGUGUGGUAGUGAGAGGAGUGAGACGGGGUAUCAUAUCUAGGAGUUCCUAGGUAGAGUAUAGCACAGGUAGUUGCUAGGUGAUAAGUCGUAAACUUGGAUGUUUGCUGAGAGCUUAGAACUAGAACUAUUACAGUGGAUUCCUCAUGGAUUGUUAUCCCCCAGAGUAGGUGUGUUUACAAACCUACUGUGUUAUUUAUUAUUCUGCAAUUUUAUAUAUAUAUAUAUAUAUAUAUAGAGACAAUUGUUGUAGCAUCUGUCACAACAUUUGUCCACUGCAUGCCAGAAAUUUCAUUUAUAUUUUAAAAAAUUAAAAUGACAUUAAGAUCUGAACCGUCUUAUUUUGAUCAAACGGUUCAGAGCAGCUGACUGCAUCCAACCCGACCGCUUUGAAUCCAUUCCUGAAGAUAGACAUUGGACCCAAGAUGAGAGAGAUAUUAUAAAAGCAAAAAACUAGAAAAAAAAUACUACAAUUUGAGUUGAAUUUAACUCCUUUUUAGGUCUAAAAUGUAAAUAUUUCUCCAACUUAUAUAAAUAAUAGACUAUUGACUAAUAUUUCCCCUAAUAGUCAAAUUAAUAUGUAUAUAAGAGACAUACAAUCAUCAAUAAUAAACUCUAAACUAAUAUUUACAUUAAUACUUAUAAAAAUAUGUAUACAUAAUAAGUUAAAAUCAUUUAUAAUUUUUUAUUUAUUUUGAAGAGGUUUGCCCGACCCAUUACUCUUUCCAUCUUUAAUUAUAAACAAAAGUUUAAUAUUCAUUGAAUAACUGAUGAAUCUGAUAGUCAUUCAAUGAAUCUUAAAAUAAAUUUUUGUUUAUAAUUAAAGAUAGAGAGAAUACUUAUAUCAUAUAACUAUUUAAUUUUAUUAAAUGAAUACUUAUUUUUUAGGCAAAAUUACACCGGGUGUCUUUUAUUUUAUUGAUUUGUAACAUUGUAGUCCUUUAUUUUUUUUGUAACAUUUAGAUCAUUUAUCUAUAAAAAAGGACUAAUUUGAACAUAUUUUGAAUUUAUUGAUUAAAGGACAAAAAAAAAAAAAUUUACCUAUUUUUUUAUCUAAUUAAAGGACUAAAAAAGAUAAAUUUUACAUUACAAACAAUAUUUUUUUAUAUUUUAAAUUUAUUGAUUACACAACUUUCCAUCAUGAUUAUAAUUGGAAAAUACUAACUAUUGUCUUUUUUUCAAUUAUAAAUUCAAAUGACACCUUAUUAAAUGAAUACUACUACAUGAGUGAAAAACAACAAAACCGAACCGUCUCAUUCACGGCAGUUCCCACACUUCUCUUGACUUUUUAAGUUUUUUUCUCCUUUCUGUUGCUACUUUUCAUAUUUUCGUAUGUUUGCUUUUUCUUGCUGUGAUCCUCUCCACUUUGUGACUUUCCCUUUUCAAGACAAUUUAUGCCAGCAACACCACCACUCCCAUCAUUCAUCUAUCUAUCACUAUCACCCUCACCCUAAACCAAAAAAUAUAAAAAAAAAAUAUCAAAACCCUUUUUUUUUAAAAGACAAAUAAAAAAAUAAUAAAUAAUUAGUUGAUUUAGUGGGGAUUGACGUCGAACUUGAUAAAAAAUACCACAAUUAGAUGAUCCCCACAAUUAUGAUCGAGAGAAAGUUAAAAUUACUUGAUGUCAUAUUUGAUCCUCAAAUCAGAUUAGACGGUUUAAUGAGUAGGAUAUUGACGGUGAAAAUUAAAAAAAAAAGAAAAAAAACUUCCCACAUCACCAAACAACAUAAAGAUACUUGUUGCACACUUGCACUUGUUCUACUGCUACUACUUCCUUCUUUUCCUCUCUCUAACACUCAUAAAAACCCUUCUUUUAUUUUUCUUGAUUAGACCCAUUGUUUUUUAUUUUACAACAAACAAUAUGGUUGGUGACAAAGGAGACACAUCAAAGAAACAACAACAACAACCUCAACAAGUUUCAUCUUCACCAAAAGCACCACCACAUGAAGAAUCAUCAUCACAACAACAACAAGUUGUUGUUGUUAGUGGAACAAUUACAAACCCUUUUAUUUCAACUCCAUUAUUUGUUUCAACAAGUGGUGCAAGUUCUUCACCUUUUGAAAACCAAUUUGAAACAACAAAAAGACCAAGAUAUAGUGGACAAUGGAAGCUUCUACCAUCACCACAACAACAACAACAAAAACAACCUCAAACUCAAACACAAACACAAAUCACCAACAUUCUUAAUCAAACAACAGAAUCAAAAUCAACAACCCCUUCACCUUCAAAUCUUCCACAACAACAACAACCUCAAACUUUAGCUGCUUCUUCAUCAGAAACAACUUCAUCACAAUCUCAUGAUCAUCUCUCACCAAUGCCUUGUCAAGAAGGAAACAAACAUGAAGAACAAGUUCAUCAACAACUAAGAAAAGGAAAAUAUGUAAGUCCUGUUUGGAAACCAAAUGAAAUGCUUUGGUUAGCAAGAGCUUGGAAAGAACAAUACCAAACUGGCUCAGAUUCUUCUUCAAGAACAGAACAGCAACAACAAGAGUUGGGAUUGAGCAGAGGAAAAACAAGAGCUGAUAAAGACAAAGAAGUUGCUGAAUUUCUCAACAAACAUGGUGUUAGUAGAGAUGCUAAAACAGCAGGUAAAAAAUAAAUUAUAUAUAGAAGUUUGUUAAAGUUUAAUAAUUUUUAAUAAUAAUUAUAAGAUAAUUACAUCUGAAUGAAAGACAACCAAACAACAAGUUAUGCAAUUAGUUUUUUUGUUUAGUUUAUAAUAGAGCUGAUGAUUGAAUUCAGAACGUCUAGCUACUGCCAAAAUUCCUAGUGGUUUAAGCUGGGGAGUUAGUUAGAGUUUAUUAUAGAAAUAUAAAAGUUAGUUAAAAUUUGUUUAGUUUGUUGAUUCUCUACUAACAAACUCUAACUAACUUCAAUAUUUUUUAAUUUAUUAUAUUUUUUAUUAGCAGGUACUAAAUGGGAUAACAUGUUGGGAGAAUUUAGGAAAGUUUAUGAAUGGGAAAGAGGUGGUGAAAGAGAACAAGUUGGAAAAAGCUAUUUUAGGCUUUCACCUUAUGAAAGAAAGUUACAUAGGUUACCAGCUUCUUUUGAUGAAGAAGUUUUUGAAGAACUUUCACAAUUUAUGGGAUCAAGAAUGAGAUCUUCUUCUUCUUCUCAUGGUGGUAGAAUUGGUUCUUCUUUUGUUUCUUGUGAUGAAGCUAGAACAAGAUCUCUUCCUCCUCCUAGACCUUUCAAAGAUGAUGAUCUUCCUCUAUCAGGUGUUAGCAGUAUAAAGACUUAAAAAAAAUAAUCACUUAUUUUUAUGUCCUUUAUUCCUCACAUUUAAUUAAACCCCAUUUUUCCUUUGUUGCCAAUUCAUAAUCUUCAAUGCACUAGUCAAAAUUUCAAACAGUAAAGUUUUAUUUUUUUUUAUAUACAUUUUUAAAGCUAGCACUAUUAUUAUAUGAUUAAAAUUAAAAUAUGAAAGUUUUAUUUAUGAUCCUUUUGCUCUUUACAUUUAAUCAAACCCCUUUUUUCUAUUAAAGAAAAAAUCAUCAUUUUCUUUACCAAAAAAAAUAUAUAAAAAAUUCAUCAUUUUCACUCUUUCUAUUCAUAUAAUCUUGAAUGUACUUGUGAAAAGUUGAAACAGUAAAGUUUUGUUUUUUAUAUAAAUUUUUUCUAUAACUUUUUAUAGAAUGAACAGUAUUGUGAGACAUUCAUGAAAGUUUUGAAGAGCAAAGUAUAUUAUUUACUGUUUCUGUUAUUCUCUCUGACUGAAACAACUAAAAAUACUGUUUGAAAGAAUGUUUUAGAAAAGGUGAAAAGAAAAUGAAAUUUUAGUCCAAAAAAUUUCAAACUUUUAUUUUGUUUUAAUAAAAAAAAUUAAACUUUUUAAUGACUAUCAUUGUUUCAUUGUUGCAGCUAGGACAAAACAAUUGACAAUGACAAGUGGUGGUGAUCAACAAUUUUUUCAUGGUCAUGGGGGAAGCUUAUUAGGGUUAGAUUCUCUAAUGGAAAUUUCAACACCAACUUCUAGUUUGAAAGAAUUAAGAAGAAUUGGAAAAAUAAGAAUGACAUGGGAAGAAUCAGUGAGUUUAUGGGGUGAAGAAGGUGAAGUUCAUAGAGGAAGAAUAAGGGUUCAAAAUUCAAGCUUUUUACAUGCUGAUGAAAUCACUUGUUUUGAUGAUACAAUGGUGAUUUGUCCUUUAGAAUCUUUUGAAGAUGGUCCUUUGAAAGGUUUUUCAGUUGAUAGAUUUGUUUCUGGACAACAAGUUAAAGUUUUUGGUAGAAGAAAAUCUUCUUCAACUUCUAGCUCUAGUGGUAUAUAUCAAAUUAAAACUUUACUUAAUUAAUACUCCCUCCGUCCCAAAUUAUAAGGGAAAAAAACAUUUUUUUUUGUCCCAAAUUAUAAGGGAAAAAGUGAUUUUCAAGAAUGUUUUUCCCUUAUUCUCAUAAAAUUAAAUGUAAAUUGCAUUUAAUUUUCUCUCUCUACCCUUUUCUCAAUAAACAAUAACCAAUAAAAAAUGUUUUUACAUCUUCCUAUGCAACUUAUUCCAAGGAAAACCCACAAAAACAUAUUUCAAAUUUUCAUGUUUUACUUUUUCUUAAUAAGUGUGAUUUUUUUUAUUUUUUCUUAUAAUUCGGGACGGAGGGAGUAUAUUUUUGGUUUUUUAUUUUUAUAAUAUUCUAGAAUUUUAUUUAAUUUUAUUUAUCUUUCAAUUUUUCAGGUUAUGCUGAAAGAGUUCAACCACUCAAUAAACCAAUUCCCAUAAGAUGUGAGUACCUUAAUUUAUGUAGUUGUCAUUAUUAUUAAGGUUCAUUUUAUAAUCAAUAUAGUGGUAUGGUUAACAUAUAUAAGUUUGCAAUCAAAUAAUUUUUUGUCUAAAGAAAACCACAUUUUUUUAUUUCUUUUAAUUCAAAAUAUAGUUAUAUUAACUAUGAUUAUUUCAAUUAAGGGCUAAUGGUUAUAUUGUUGUAAAAAAAAAAGGGUUAAUGGUUAUAUUGCAGUUGCAUUCCUAUUUUUUCCAAUAAUUAAGAUUUCCUAUGGCAAUGACAAUUUAGAGAGACCCACAAUAUUUUUUGGAUUUAAUUUAAAUACACCGACAGUGUAAAAUAAUUUUACACCGUCAAUCAAUACCAACCAUGUUUUGCGCCACAUCACCCCACUUUCUUGAUAUGACAUGGCAAAAUGGUGGUUAUUUAUUGGACGAUCGUGUAAAAUUAUUUUACACCGUCGGUGCAUAUCAAUUAAACUCAUAUUUUUUUUACCUAUAAAUUGAUGUAGCUACAAAAUGGGACUGCAAUUGCAUUAUAGACACAUUAUUUUAAACAACAAAUAUUAAUAUUAUUAAUUUUAUAUGUUGGGACAUGAAUUACUCUCAACCUCUUUAUCACUUCACUCUUUAAAAAUAUUGUUUUUCUAUUAUAUAAAUUUAGCAUCUUAUUUUCUUGCAAUUUUAAAGAUAGCUUGUGCCAACUAAAAUUUAGAACCAUCUCAAAUUAAAGAAACAUAUGCACAUUUUUUUAUACUUAUAAUAAUUUGAUGUACUAUCCUACUUGAAUAAAUUUUACAAAAAUCAACUACAAUUGCAACUCGUCUCAAUUUGAACUACUAUCAUGAAAUUAAAGUCAUGCACAUUUCUUACACAACCUUUUUUGCUCAAACAUUAAAUUAUCCUAUAUACUAGUACUUGUAUUAUAGUAUAGUCCUUCUAAUUAAUUUUGGCAGAAUCAUAAUUAAUUUAUGGUUGGUGUUUAAUUAAUUGCAGCAAUUGUGCCAUUGGAUUUUAGAGACCCAACUGAGUAUUACAUGGAACAUCUCCUUAAAAUCUCAUCACCACAAUCACUUCCAACAUUAUUUGAGCUAAAGCAUUAUCUCCAAGAGCCACCACCACAAAAUUUGCGUUUUCCACUUAGAAAAGAAGUGUUUGAUGAUUUACCACAAGGUAAAGAUUUUUUCUUCACAACAACCUCUGAACCAUUGGAUUGUAGAUCCAUAAUCUAUGACAUUGUGGGCCCCAUCAUUAGAACCAACAACAACAUUAACAACCCUAGUACUCUCCCAUUUUCUAGUAGAGACUCUUUCAUUGGUGUUUGGGAUGAUUGCAUCAAUAGGGUCGUUUCAAGAUUCUGCCACAAUGAAAUGGUAAUUACUAGAAAGCCCUUUUCAUCAAAUUCACAAUCACAAGACACAUUGUUUGAAGAGGAAUGGCCUAAUGUUAGUGGUUUUGUGAACAAUUUUUGUCUAUGGAGAGGUGAAGAAUGUGAAGAAUUAAAAGAGAAUAUUCAAAACCCAUCAUCAACUAUCAUUCAAAAAUUACUAUGGAGCUAUCUAGAUUUACCUUAUAUCCUUGGUUACUAUGCAAUUGGAAAUAAGGUAACAUUUUGUGCACUUAGUAAAUCACAUGAAGAUCAUGGAAAAAUCAUUAGAACCGAUUUACAUGAAGUGAAUUUAAACACACCAAGUGAAAGAUUCAAAUCUUUAGUACCAUGUUUUAGAAUUGGUGUUUUGUUAUCAUUGUUAAGCAAAAGUUGCAUAAACAUGCAAAAGGGUAGUUUUGUCUAUAGUGAUUUUGAGAGAUAUUGUUUUGGUCAAGGUGUUAUAAUUGAAAUGACACCUAACACAUGCAAAAGGGUAUUUUUGGAAAAGAGAAAAUUUUCAUCCGUGAAAGAAGUUUAUGAGAUAUUAGAUCAUAGAAUACCACAUAGUGAGUAUUUAUUUAAGGUUAAUGAAAACAACAUGAGUUUAGUUUUUAAACCAAGAGGGAUUAGAGUUAAACCAUUAAACAUUGAACAAUUAGUUGAAGCAUUAAAGUAUGUAACAAAAGCAUUAGUUGCAUUACAUGAUUUAUCAUUCAUGCAUAGGGACAUAGGAUGGGAGAAAGUGAUGAUGAGAAAUGAUGGAGAAAUUGGUGAGUGGUUUGUUAGUGGUUUCGACGAAGCGGCGGGUGCGCCGGCAUUAGGGAAGUUUGUGAAAGGAAAAGGUGAUAAUAUGGUGGAGCGUGGAAGACACGCGCCAGAAAUGGAAAGAGGAUUACAUGGUGUGAAAGUUGAUGUGUGGAGUAUAGGGUAUUUGAUAAUGACAUGUGGGUUGGUGAAUGUGCCUAAGAUGUUGAGAGAGUUACAGAAUUGGUGUAUGGAACAGAAUCCUGAACAGAGACCUACUGCAGCGGAUUGUUAUCAUCAUUUGUUGCAACUUCAGUCAUCUUUGUUGGUGUCAGGUGGUGGUGGUUCUGUUGGUGGUGGUGGUGGUGGUGGAGGAUUGAUGUGAUUGAUUGGUUCAUGUUUUGUUUUAAUGGUGGUGCUUAGUAUAAUUCAUUGUUGAAUAUUUGAAUUAAUACUUGAAUUGUUAAUUAUUAUAUAUUGGUAUUGUUUUUUAUUCUGAGAAAAGGGUUAUUAAUGCAAGUUUUAAAUUUUACUGCAAUGAAAGUAUAUUGUUUAGUAGUUAUUUUAUGGCACAAUUUAUGUUUUUUUUGGAUUUACAUUGAGUUUUAUGAAAUCACAGUAUAUAUUUGUAGGAGUAUAUUAGGUAUUUUUCAUCUUAGAUAUAACAAAACAAAGUAGGUAAGUAUUUUCCAUCUUAAAUUUAACAAAAAUUAAUAUUUCUAAUUUCUAAUUUAAAUUUGAAACUAAAUAGAUUAACUUAAUUUUUUACUCAACUUUUUAUUAUAUUUAGGAAUAAAGAAAUAUUAUGUCAAAAAAAAAAAGGAAUAAAGAAAUAUAUAUUUUAGAGUUUUAACAAAACUAUAACGUUAAUGUGAUUUCGUCAAAUUUAUUGUCUAUUGAAAUAUGCUCUAUAUUGGUAUUUUUUAUAGGGACUAAAAAUAUAUUUAUUUUUAUUUGAUAUGUAAAUCUAUGAAACUAAUUUACAUUGCUUAUUUUAAUUCCAUAGGGUUUUGACUAUCGGUUAUUCGGACUAAAAAAAAUUUAGGCCUUAAAUUUAUUUUCUUUAGAGGUCUAUUAGGACUAAAAAAAAUUCUUAUUUUUGUCCGUUGUAUUUUGUUCUCACUCAGCGUUCGUAUCAAUUAUUGUAUUAAAUAAGAAUUUUGGUACAAUGAUAAUUGAUAUGGUUGAUAAUUUGAUGAGAUGAUAUAAUGAUACGUAAGUACAAAUAAUUAGAUUCCUCUUUGUGUAUGUAUCCCUUGUAUCAUGUAUAAAAUUUUCUGUCGGACUGUCUUCGUACUACUUCGAUCAUUGUUACACGUCUACACUUCUCUUCUUCUGACAAUCUCGUUGCGUAUCAACACAUAUGCAUCGUCUCCAUCAAGUUUUCUCUGUGCAAGUAUUCAAUUCACCAAUCAUCCCUAGUUUUAUCUUAUUCUUUUUUUGCAUAUGCGAUUUUCAAAUUUAUUUUCUCCUUUUGUUUCAUGGUGUGCGGUUUUUUGAACUGAAAGUGUUUGUUAAUGUUUUUGCCAAAUUGGAACUAGAAAUGCUUGUAGGAAUUGUUGUAAACAUAUUUAUUAGUGAGCUUGCAUCUAGAAAUGCUCGCAUAAAUAUUUUGAUAUGAAUAUUUGGAUAUUAAAUAAGAAAACUUUUUUUUAGAGUUCAAAUUUCUAGACUAUUUAAUAGUUAGAGUCCAAAUUGUAGAUUCACUCUUAUGCUACCAAAACCUUUUUUUUUUACUUCUAUCACUGGUUUAAUUUGGUUCGGAAAAACCUUAUAAACUACCGUUGGUGUACUUUGAGAAGGGGUGAUUAUGUGAACUUUUGGCAUUGAAUAUUUAAGACUUAAAAUGAAAUUGAAAUUUGAAAAGCAUUUUGUACGUAUGUGUUUUUUUGGUAAUAUAUUUUUUGUUAGUGUUACGUGAACGCAUACUAAUUUUAGAUUGUAUUGUAUUUAUUAAAAUUGUUGUACUACAUAUUUUAUAUAUUUUUUUAUUAUAAAUGUUAUUAAUUGGUUUGUCUUGCAAAGUGAUUGAAGUAAUGCGUGUGAAGAGGGUUAUCUUAUCUCAUCUCAUCUCAGUUAUAGAACUUGACUGAUGGAAAAUUUAUGUUUGAAUCUUAUAAUUUUAUGAAAGAUCUUAUAAUUUUAAGAAAUUGAAUUUAAAUUUCUAUGGAGACUGUUGUAUAAAAUUUUCAUUAUUGUUAUUUUAGUACUUCCUCCGGUCUUUAUUAUAAUAAGAAAUUUAUUUUUUAGAUUGAAUUAAAAAAAAAAAAAUCAAGUGCUUCUUGCGAAAAUGUUCAAAUAUGAAACACUUAAAAAAAAAUUAUUAUGUUCAAAUAAAAUGAUCAUAUGUAUGAAGUUUGUAUUGGAAUAUGGAUUUAUGAAAAUGAAUUAGUGAAGUGAUUGAGAGAGAGGGGCCUGGAGAAGAAGGUGACAAUGAAGGUAAAAUUGGCGGCUGGUGCAGUUAUACAGGUGAGUGAGGUAAGUUUAAUCAAAUCAAAUCAAUUCACAUCACAAUACAAAAGAACCAAUUAAAAGACUUGAUGAGUGAGUGUGUGUGUGCAGUGCAAUUGUUGCAGUGUGGAGUGCAGUGUAGCAGUAUUUUUCAGUUUUCGAUUGGUACGUGUCUCUAUGGAUUCAGGCACCACUGUUUUCUUUUGGUACAAUUGCAGAUUAAUUAAUGUCUUUCUUCAUUAAUUAAGGUUGGUUAAACUUAGGUGUGUUUGUUUGUUUGUUUGAGUGAAACAAUCAAAUUUUUGGAUUUUUAUGUUGAAAAUGUUACUUACUCAAUACCUAAAACAUAUUAUCCAAACUUCUCGUCACUAGACUAAAUCUAGUGGCUUAUUUCCCUUCAUUUUUUAAUUAUAAGAAAAUUUCAACUUUUUAGUUUUAUUGGAUAAUUAAUGUAUGGCUUAAUUAGUAAAAUGGUCACUUAAAGACAUUUUUGGUUUCAUAUUGGUCCCUUAAAGAAAAAAAGGUUCAAAUAGGUCCUUAAAGAAAAAAAAGUCUGAAUAGGUCCCUUAAAGACAUAUCCGUUAAUCAGUUUGGUCCUAUUUAGACCUCUUUUUAGGGACCAAACUGAUUAACGGAGAUGUCUUUAAGGGACCUAUUCGGACAUUUUUUUUUUUAAGGGACCUAUUUGGACCUUUUUUUCUUUAAGGGACCAAUUUGAAACCAAAAAUGUCUUUAAGGGACCAUUUUAUUAAUUAAGCCUUAAUGUAUUUAACCUUAAUUAUAGACCAGAUACAUUAGUUAUCUAAUGAAUCUAAAAAGUGGAAAUUUGCUUAUAAUUAAGGUCGGAGACUAAAGAGUGAGUAAUACUUUUGUUUGGAAGAGAAAAGAAAUUGAAAUGAAAGAAAGUGAGAGGAAAUAAUAUUGAAAGAAUGAAUGUGAGUGGAAAGUGGAUAAAAAGUGAGAUAAUUGUUUAGUGGGUCUUGUUAACAUGUGCCCUUAGGGCACAUGUUAAGAUAUACCAAAAUAGAAAUUCAACAUUUAAUGAUACAAGAAAUUUAAUGAUUCAAAAGUCAAAAUGCACAAAUUAGCAUUUAAUAAUUUCUAUUUUUGCUUCCUUAACAUGUGCCUUAAGGGCACAAGUUAACAUUCUCCUUGUUUAGUUGGUUGGUUUGAGUGAAAGUGAAUGAAAAGUAAGAGAAAAGAAAGAAACUUAUUUUGUAAAUGACAUAAUUAUCUUUACACAAAAUUAAUAUAUUAAUAAUGAUGAAUAUUAAUAGUGUUAAUUCUGAUUUCUGUCUUUAUAGCAUGACCAAAGUCUAUAUUUAAUCCCCGCAUAAAUAAAAGUUUUAAUUUCAUCUUGUAAUACCAAAUUCUCAAAUUGAUAGAGUGCAUCGAUGUAAUACAAAUUUAAAGUUGUUAAAAAAAAAAAAUCUGCGAACAAGCUCACAACAUCCAUGUUAAUAGUAUAAAACGAAAAAUUGCAUAAGCCUACAAAUUUAAAUAUGACUAUAUUCAAGUGGACGAAAUAUUCAUGCCUCCGGAUCUGUAACGUUGAUGACUCCAACGUCAACUUGAUUGAUUUUGCACUAGAUCCAGACUAAUCAUUCAACCUGAAAAAAAUAAACACCGCACAAAGAUAAGACAACAAAAUACACCGCAUAAUGACGAGACAACAAAACACAACGUAUGAAGACGUAUGUGAAAUCAAAAUAAACAAAUAUGUGAAUAUCACACUUUUUAUUAUAACGAAAAAGAAAAAACUUUUUAGAAAGGUGAUUUCAGACCAAAAUUAACUUUAAAUCACUUCUCUUUGAUAGACCAAGAAGAAAAGGGGAAGAAAAGAAAAGAAAAGAUAAAGGCCUUGGUUUAAUAACCAAUAAAUUGGAAAAAAAAAAUAUUUAACGUCUAGCAAACACAUUUCAGAAGCAAGGACUGUAUUGUCUUUUUACAAAAUUGGAUCUCCAAUUUUUGCUUUCUUUCCAUAUCUUAGUGGAAAAGUUUUAUGCACUUUCUCUCAUUUCACAGUCAAUCCUCUCACCUCAAAGACACUAUAAAUAUAAAAUUUUAUUAAUUAAAUUAUAAAAAUUUCAUUGGAGUAAUGAUUUUUUUUUAUUAGCCCUCUAGUUUUUAGGGGAAACGAGCCGAGUAAUUUAAAGUUUGAUUGUGAGGUAAGUAAAGUCUAACAAAAAAUUGAUCCUAUAAAAAAUCGAACUCGAGCUUUUCCGAACAAUUAUAGUAGUAAUAAAUUUAUUAAUAGUAAAUAAUCAUUUUACAAGUUUAUCUUAAGAGAAUUUUUUUUUUAUUUUUUAUUUUUUAUGAUUGAAUAGACAUCAUAACUAAGUUGGGAUACCUAAAUACUCUUAUCUUAUACAUAUAUCUCAUAUUAAUAUAAAUAAAAAUAGCAAAAAAAAAUAUGUACAUAGGGGAGACUAAAUGUUACCCUAGAAGUAGUCAAAAUAAAGUAGUACAAAGCAUGUGUUUGGUUCUGCGGCGGAGAGAAUUGAUUUUGGCAGAAUUGAUUCUGUAAAAUUGAUUCUGGCCAAAAUUGAUUUUAAGCUGAAGUGGUUUAUGUUUGGAUAUAUUCAUGAAAAAGUGAGUUGAACAAAAAAUUUGAGUGUAAAAAUCAAUUCUAGAAUCAGAAGCUACGAUUUCUAGUUUCAAGUAGAAUCAAUUCUGGAGGCAGAAUCAAUUCUACUUUUGAGAAACCAAACAAGUCAGAAUCAAUUCUACACGUCCAGAAUCAAUUCUGGAUGCUCCAGAAUUGAAACCAAACAUACACAAAAUAAUCAACCCUACAAAGGGAAUUCACAAAGAGCUCUAACUUCCGGUUUACCAAAAACUACCUCCCAUUUUAUAGGGACAAGUGAGACGUGAUACCCAUAGAAACGAGUGUUAUAUGGUUGUCCACUACUCAUAGCCAAUUGUUUUUCUUCUUCUUUUAACUUUUACAAAUAAAAGGGGAGAAAGACUUCUCUCCUUUCUCCAUUGCGGCCCAAACUUGUUUAAUCACUUUGAGGUUCGCUUGUACAGGAUCGUCAGCCUGAUCAUGAUGAAUUGAAUAUCCAUCAUGAAUUCAUUAUCCUUUGUGAUAAGGAUCUCACGAGGGGUUGCUAUCAUUUUUACGAAGGUUUGCAAAAAUUUAGAAUGACAAUGGUUAGGAAAAACACUCUGUCCAAGACUUAUUAACUCGGUUAUUAGGAACGCACGAUAUAAAACGUGCAGGUUUAUUAAAUCAGUUUUUUGUUUUUUUGACAAAAUUAAAUCGGCUAACAACCGAAAUGACUUAAAGGGUGCAGACAACUAUUUUUGAAAAUCAGGUUUUCAUGGCUUUGGUUCAAAGAAUUCUAUGCAUGACAAUUUGAUAGCUUAGAGAUGAAGUUUAUGAAAGAUUUCCUGAGCAUCUAAAGUAGUAUAGCUUGAUAACUUAGAGACGAUGUUUAUGAAGUUUAUGAAAGAUUUUAGGAGAAUGUUAACUUGUGCCAUUAAGGCACAUGUUAAGAAGAUAAAUGUGAAAAAUAUUUAUUGAACUUGUGUUGUAUUCAAUUGUCUAAGCAUUAAAUUCUUUGUAUCAUUAAAUGCUAUAUAUUUCUAUUUUUAGGUAGCUUAACAUGUGCCCUUAGGACACAAGUUAACAUGACCCAAGAUUUUAUGCAUGACAUUUGACAGAGACGGAAGUAAUCCGUCUCCGAAUUAAUCUGUCUCUAGAAUCUGUCUUUAACGAAAUAUCCUUUCUAAUUUACUUUUUGAAGGUUCCCUUCAAAUGUUUUGUUGUUUAAUAAUUUAUAAAUGUUUUAAAUGUACAAUUUAUUUUGUCAAAGUNNNNNNNNNNNNNNNNNNNNNNNNNNNNNNNNNNNNNNNNNNNNNNNNNNNNNNNNNNNNNNNNNNNNNNNNNNNNNNNNNNNNNNNNNNNNNNNNNNNNNNNNNNNNNNNNNNNNNNNNNNNNNNNNNNNNNNNNNNNNNNNNNNNNNNNNNNNNNNNNNNNNNNNNNNNNNNNNNNNNNNNNNNNNNNNNNNNNNNNNNNNNNNNNNNNNNNNNNNNNNNNNNNNNNNNNNNNNNNNNNNNNNNNNNNNNNNNNNNNNNNNNNNNNNNNNNNUCUGAUGAGUUAAUUUAGGGGAUUAGUAUUGGUUGAGUGUGUGCAGAAGGCUGCAAAAUAUUGUGAAAAUGAUAGUACUGGUAAUAGUGCCUGCCAAUUUAUAUUUGCAAUAAGCUUUUUCAUUAGGGAAUAAUUUUAAUGACUAAUAUAUGUUACUAUAUAGUAAUAUAUAACAACUAUCUUGUGUAAAAAUAAAAUAAAAUAUAACAAUUAUAUAAAAAUCUAAAAAUUAAGUACAAUGAAAUCAUAUAGUAAUCAUAUAGUAUAUUGUAACUGAUAUUUAAAAAUUGUUAGAAACUUUAUACGCUUUCAAUUGAGAUGGUAACGAGUAAAAUCAACAAUAAAUAAAUAAAAAAGAAAAUUUAUUAAAUAAAAAUUUCUAUUUUUUUCUUCUUGGUUUGUAAAUGGCAAAAUAGUAUACUCCUAUAUAAUAAAAAGAUGGAUAGAAAUCCUCAAAAGUACGAGAAGUAUUUAAAACUAAGAAGCCAGCUAAAGAGAAAUCGAAAAAGAAUAUAGCUAAAACAAACAAGAAAACGAAGGCAAGCUCUACAUUAGAGGGCCUCCAGAAAACCGUCAAUCAUAUCCAUUUAGGAUGCAUAUCGGCUGUUGUAAUUGUUUCACAUAGUUACACACUGUAGAUAAUUUCGGCCGUUCAUAAUAUAUUCGAUGGCUCAAAUUUACUUGGUCAAUUUAAUUAACUUUUUACAAAAUUUAAUCUCAGCUAUUCAUUAUUGAUCGGACAGUUAUAAUUACUUCGUUGGCACAUUAACUACUCAAAUCCUAUUCCAUCCAUUUAUAUCCAUUUUCUCUUGUUUUCCUAUUGAAUCAACACUAAUUAGGCUUUUAUAUAAACCAAAACGUUAUGAAAAACUCUAAUCUUCUACUCAAAGGUAGCAUUAUAUGCCAUGCCAUGACCAAGUGUGUUGACUUUGAAAAUUCAAAUAAAAAAAAUAUAGUACAUUAGAAAACAAUGUGUUACCCUUUUGUUUGCAUGCAAUAUAAUCAUGAACAAUGACAAUGUACAGUGAAUAUUAUAGUAAUGAAUUACUCUCUAGCUUGUUAUGAUCAAUAUAUAUAGCUGUGUAAUACUAAUCAUAUGCUCUAUACUUUAGAGAGAGACAACACAAACAAUAUCAUGCAUGCAAUGAAAGAAUUAUAAGAUUAAUACAAAACACUUUAAUAUCUCUUCCCGACAAGUAACAUCAAAUUCAGUUUCAUAGACAAAGGUUUAUGUUAUUUUUAUUCAAAAAUUCAGAGUACUGAAUCAACAUGAAUUUCGUGUUUUGAUCUAUCCCUAUUAUAAAAAUUAUUACAUAUAUUUUAGCUGCAUAUGUAGCAGUAACUAGUAAGUAGGGUGCUAAUAGCAAUAGCUUCCCCGUGACUGCUAUAUAGUAUCCUAUAAUUCUCAUCUUUCACUUUCUAAUUUCUUUUAAAGCUGCAAAACUUUGAAGCUGUAUUCCAUCAUCAAUAUCCUCACACUUGUAACACAUAUACACACUUAACAUAUACUAGUACUCAUUUAUUCAUUCUAUAAUAUAGCCCUAAUAUUUGCAAAUAUAAAAACUAUAUAUACACAAACAACUAUUUUUCUAUUUAAACAUGUUUAAAAAUAUAUAUAUUAAUUUAGCUGAAUAGAUAGUUAAUUUAAGAUCAAAAUUAUGAAUUAACCACAAUUUUAAACGAAGUGAAUGAGCAUUUGUUUACCUAAAUUACUCAAAUUUUUGCACAUGAUUAAUUAUGUGUCACAAAUGUAUCAAAAAGUGGAUGCCCUUCCUUGAUACAUGUUUGUAUAAAAUGGUUUCAAAAAAAGUAUUAUAUAAUAGAAAAUUUUGAAUUAAUGACGAAAAUUUGAGACGGAAAAAAUAAAAUUGGUUAUAUGAUUACUAAAUAUUUAUUGGAAUAAAAAGAAAAUUUUCGAUGUCUCUAACACUUGGUGAUGAAAUUAAAGAAAUAUUGUUUCUAUUAGGAUAUCUAAAUUUUGAUUCCUAUUUACUUUUUGUAGUAGUUACUUUUAAUUUUCAAUUUUUUUAAAUUGCACCUUAUGUGCACCACUCUUAAAUUAUUAAUUUCAACUUUGUAAUUAUAAUAAUUAAAAAAUUAAAUUAGAAAAUAUAAAAUCAUCAUUUUUUCCCCAUUAUGAUGGAUUCUUUGGCACAAAUUAUAUUUGGAUAAGUACAUCGCUGAUGUGGAUAAUUCUAAUUGGUUCAUAAAUUAUGUAUUAAUUUUUGAAUUUAUCAGAAUUAUCCACUCAACAGUAUACCAAUACAUAUCCAAAUAAAAUGUAUAUACUUGAGUGUUUACCAUCUAUUGUAUCAUUUAACGAAAGUUCAAAUUUUAUUGAGUAAAUUUGGCUUACAGUAUUUGAAUAUAAAUUAUAUAUUUUUAAAAAAUAAGUUAAUAGUAUAAAACUAUAUAUAACAUGUACUUAUGAUGCAUACAUAUAGUUAUUGAUUGUGGCACCAAAGAAGGUUAACCCAAAUAAACAAACAUGAGAGUGUCCACUUAUUUAAUGUAUUUGAAGUAGUGCAACACAACAGUUAUUGACUGCUGCACCAAGAGAUUAAUUAACACAUUUUUAUAUUUAUUAUGUGCAAAUAUAAACUAAACAAUCUCUGACCUAUCCUUCACUUUUGUUUCUGUUUUAUCACUUCUUGCAUUUCUAAAAACCGUUAGCUAUAGAAACACAGAAAGACAAGUAAAUGGUAAAUAAUCUCUCUCUCAUUCACUUUUUUUUCUAACACCUAUAUCAUCCUUAGGUCGGCUGCAUGCUUCUUAUUUACCUUUAGCAGCUCAUGUAACAUUUUUUUUGGUAAAAUUUUUACUUCUUAUUAUUCACCUAUAUAUAGAAGCUAUAUAUAUGUUUAAUUUUUUAUGGGAAGCAUACCCAUCAAAAUUAAAAAUUAUUUUAAUUUGUAAUGAAAUUUAUAUAAGGUCAUCAACCAAAAAAUUUGAGACCAAACCUUUUUUUUUUUUAAUAAGCAAAAUAUAUUAUUGAGUGUAAAUAUAAGGUCCAACUAUAUGUAUUAUUAUAACUUUCUAGUCAUUUUAUUUUAAUCAUUUACCAUAUGGAUAUAGGAUGUUUGAUCAAGAUCGAGAGAUCAAGAUUUCAACAUUCAAAUUUUAUAUUAGACAAAAUUUAUCUUUUGUAAACAAAAAAAAAACUUAAAACUUAAACUGUCUGGUCAAGAUCGGACAAUACUGAAACAAUGAUUGCAUACAAAAUCGACUGCACUGAAUCUAUAUAUUGAUAUCAUUUAUAUUUAUUUUCACCCGGCUCACUGGAUCGUCUGAUCUACCAACAAUUGGUUCAACUCUCUCCCAAUUGCAGUUGUGGUGGAUCGAUUGAACUGUGGUUCUUCCUACCAAGUUUAGCGUCAAUCACCACUGGACCAACUAACUAUUGAUAUAUAAUGAUACCUUUGAAUAUGUGUCUCUAUUAUUUUAGUUUAUGUACUCUAAUUUAGAUUUCAUGAUCUUAUGCUUAUGUGAGUGUAUUUAUUUUUUGUAUUUAAUUUCCAAUUUUGAGAGGGUGCAAAUAUGUAUGCGUUUUUACAUUAAGUACGUCAAUAUGCUUUAUGAAGACAGUGCCAUAUUUUUGCAUAAAUCAAGGGGGGUCCUAUACAUUUACUUACAUAAUGUCUAUAGUCUCAUCUCAAUUUUAAUUUGGUGUAUGGUUUUCUAAUUGUGUUUGUAGUAGGUAAGAUAUAUUUAGGGUUGCUAGAGUUUCCAUCUUGACUAGACUAUACUCAUGUUGGGAUUUGAGAUCAUAAAGCUGUUGCAGUUCAAAUUUGGCUUCUUUCCGUUGGAAUUUUAUAUCUUGUCUUUGGAGUUAUACACUGUUAUCAGAAUUUUUUUAAUUCCUUCUCUGAAAGGAGAUCUUUUAUUGGGUACAAUGAAAGUUAUUUUAUUUUUAAGAUUGACGAAAUGAUGUUAAACAUUUUGAAACUCACACAUAUAUGUCGAUGAUGUUGGGUUACAAUUCUACGACAUUCGAUCUAAUAAUUUUGACAUUUUUAUAUGUUAUAUUUUUAUAUGUUAAGUUAAAAUUUUUGGACCAAUGAUAGUGGAUUGUAUUAUGGUGAAAAAAAGUUCGCAUUCUAGAAUGCAAAUUGUUUUUUUUCCUAAUAUUUUCAUUCAUGAGGGUGCUGACAUUGAACUUGAGUCAAAUAAAAUUGGCACUCGUAAAAUAGGGUGCGAACUAAAACACAGUUCGCUAUUUAGAGUGUGAACUCUGUUUGCACUUUAACUAGUGAACCUUAUAAACAUGUGGCCACUAUAUAAUAUCAUUUUGAAUUUGCACUGAAGUGGUUGUUACAUUAUCGACUAAUCACACACACCGUAAUUAUAGCUAUACUGAAUUAUUACUUUAUUUGAUAUGACCAUGUUUACAUUUGUACUUACAAUAUACAUCUAUCAAGGUUAUAAGAGCUUAUAUGGCUACAAUUGUUACUUUAACUUGCAAAUUAUGUUUCAUUAACAAUUGUUUCAUGGGAGAUGAGAGAAGGGUAAAUAGGACAAAAAAAAAAUUGAUUUUUAUAAGGUUCGCAUUCUAGGAUGCGACCUCUUUUUUCCCCAAUAUUUGCUAUUUACAGACUCACAUCCUAAGUAGCAAGAGGUCAAUUGGGAAUGUAAAGGGGUGCACAAGUGUAACCGUGGUGCGAGAAGAAAUUCUCUAAAAGUAAUUACUAAUUAGAAUGAAUUAUAGAAUCUAAUUGUCAGUCCUGGGCCUUUCUUGAUCCAUGUUCAAGCUCGUGGCCCAAUCUUAAAUUGACAUGGAGAAUUUCUUUUCGCGCUCUGACUUUUCUCGUGCGUCCCCGGAAAUUUUAAAAAUAUCCCUCACUAAUUAAAUUGCGAACUUUGUUUUUUUCAAAUUUUGCACUCUUUAACACUCACUAGUUAUCUUAUGAAAGCGAUAUUUUGGGAAAUUCAUAAGAUACUUAAGAAGCUCAAGGGCGCGAAAAGAAGUUUUCAUUGACAAUUAAGUUCUUUAAUCUUGGGCCUGGCCAACCGAACACAAGCCCGUGGGAACACAACUCUUUGGCCCUUUUUAACAUAUUUGGAUACCAGUAGCUGUAGCAGUCAAAUUCAUCGCCAGUUCCAUUUUUUUUUUCUUACAAAAACUAGUCUAUUUUAAAUAUUUUAAUAAAAUAUUAUACAGUUUCAUUAUUUUACAGAUAUCCAAUUUAGAGCACUUUUAGGAGUGCAUAUUAUAAUGUCACAUAAUUAUGCACACGUGAAAAAGCUUCAAGUUUAGUAAAGAAAUAUGCACAUUAAUUCUCCUCCUUGAGGAGGCUCCAAGUUCAAUUAUAAGGACUAAGUUGUCCCGUCAACUUUGCUCAGUUGACAUGAACAUUGUAUUAUAUAUGCAGAAGGCUGGAGUUCGACCCCGAUCAUCCCACUUAUCCACAUUAUGAGUAAAAAAUUUAGCCACUAAACUAUUUAACAAAAAAAAUUGAUUCUCAGUUUUAUUAAGGCCGAAAAGUAUAUUUACUCGGAAAUCAUUAGUUAGUUCAAAUAUCACAUUAUUUCCAUAGAUAAAUUAUUAUGGAACAGUUCGGGAGUUUAAUUUAGUUGGUGGGUAUCAUUUGUAAAUUAAAAUAUGAAGAGAAAAUAAUUAGUUAUUUAAAAUAUCAUACUUCACUCAUUUAGCUUAAGGUUCAAAUUAUAAUUACUAAACUACUUAACCAAAUAUAAAUAAAUUAUUGUGGAAGCAAAGCAGUCUUGAGCAACUUUUGAUAUUUAUUUUAAAUUAAUUAUUUAAGGGGUUCUUACUUUUUUAUAUUGUUUGAAUUGGACAAGUGUACUGUUUAAUUUAUCCUUGCUUUUGGAUUUGCAGGAUAUGGAUGAUGAGAUCAUAUUCCCAUUCGUGCAACACAAUCCUACAUUUAUCCUCAAAUUGAAUAUAUGUUACAUCUAUUGAAACAACUUCAUAAUAUGUAGUCCUACAUUUUAUAGAAAAUGUCUUUAAAGAAGAUUUCUAACCAAGAUUAUCUUAGUUGUCAUAUCUUUGCUUUCUCAUCUAAUCUAAUAUGAUACUUAUAAUUAAGUGGUUGCAAAUGGAUUGUCUUGAAAGUUGUUAGUAUUCUUCUUUUUGAUAAAAAUAUAAUAAUGUGGAUUGAAGUACACUUAUACUCUUUUGUUAAUUAUUUUUUUUGUUUAUAAAAAAAUUAUUUGAUUUCAUAUGGAAGUUAUAUAUAAUUGCUAAUUUGAUACUUAUCAUACUUUUGGGGCAUAAAAUGGUCCAAGGAUACCAUGAAUAUUCUCACUUGAUCAAUAAAUGAAUUUGAAGUGUGUCUAGAACUACAAGCCAUAUUUAUUGAUGGUCGAAUUCAUUUUAUCAAAUUUAUCAUCAAUUCAAGUUUUUCCAAAAUAUAAUUUUUUAAUAAAUUUUAAUAAAUAUUAUACGUCAUUUUUUUUAGGGAUAUCCACUUUAGAGCAAUUUUUGGAGUACAAAAUAUAAUAUUUCAUAAAUAUUACUCUCUCCGUCACGGGUACUAAUAAUAAGAAGAAAAAAAAUUACACAUUUACAAUCAUUGAUAACUGAUGUAUUCGAUCUAUAUAUAUUUUUUUUGAAAACUUGGUAUUUGGUCCUAGGACCGACUAUUCCAAGGGGACCAAUCCCACCGCCAACUUGCGGGGUCCCAUUUAAAGCCAGAGUUUCUUUUACUCUGUAUGGACUUAGCCCACCGAGAUUGGCACUAGGGGAAAUCGAACCUAAGACCUUGAGAGGAGCAUACUCCAAGGACCUAAACCAACACUACCAGACCAACCCCAAGUAGGUUUGUAUUCGAUCUAUAUUGAUAUUGUAGAAACUUAACUUUCCCAUUUUUAAGUUACUAUAAUUGGGAUCAAAUUGUCUCAUUUAAUUAACUAUUGUUUGAAACGUCUAAGUUACUAGCUAUCUCUGAUGGUUUCCAAAUCUGUUGAGUUUUGCAAGUUUUGUUGUAUCUAGUUGACCUUUACCGUAUCGGUGUUGACUGUUUGGAGACGAACUUCAGACUUAUCUGCAUAGGUUUUCUUUCUACCGAUGCCUUAUUAACUUUUGGCUCCUGGAGCUGCUUUUUGGAUUAUGAUGGGAAAAUCACUUUUGAUUCGAGAUCGCGAGUUAGAGUCUAUGUGAAUCGGGUUGAUGGUUUCUUUGGUGGUCUGGAGGCUGAGAAGUGUCCUUCUAUGAAAGGGAUUAGAAGUGGACUUCUAUUAGGUGGUGUCUGUUUUUGUCUUUAUUCAUUGGUGUUCCGCCUAUAUACGACACAUUUGUUCUGUGGUUCUCCUUUGUUCGGUCUCUGUUCGUCUUGUGCAGAUCGAGACCGAUUAUUAUUAAUAAUAUAUUUGCCAUUCAAAAUAAAUAACUAAAUUUCAUAUGCGGAUCAAUUAUAAUGACUACGUUGUGCCGAUUUAUUUUUUAAAAGAAUUAUUAAAUUGUAUAUAUACAAUAAAAAUAGAUCAAGAGGAAAUCAUCGGUUAGUUAAAAUGUCAUAUUAUUACAGAUAAAUAAUUGUUAGUAAACCCUUGUGAAGCAAUCUUUAACCCUUUUGAUUUUUAUUUUAAAUUAAAUUAAUUACUUAAGGGGUGCUUACAUUUUUUAUUUUUGAAUUGGACAAGGAUACAUAAUAUUAUAAUUUUUUUAUAAGCAAAGAAUAAUUAUAUAAAAGAAAGUAUAAUGGGUACUUCAACCAUUACAAUAAGGCUUUAGAUACAUAGCAUACAAUCUAAAGCAUUAGUACACCAGUUGUUAUAUGAAUAACUUAAAUGUCUACAACUCCUAUUAAUAAACCAUAACCAAGAAACAUAUUUGAUUAUGUCCAUCAAAGAGCGCAGAGAAUGAUUGAAGCUCCCUUAAAUAUAACAUUAUUUCUAAGGGACCAAAUACACCAAUUAGUCGUGCACCAAACCAGUUGUCUCACCUUCUUAAACUUGCUAGAAUUGAGAUGUUUACCGAAUGCUAGAAAGUGAGCCCAACCAACUUCAUGAGUGACUGGUCUAAAGCCGAGCCAAUCGUAUAUAUCGUUCCAAAUGCGACGCGCCAAUGGGCACCCAAAGAAAAGAUGAUUAUGGUUUUCUGAAGUGCAGCAACAAAAAGUACAGGAUUUAUUUAUGAAAUCAGUUAUGAUUCCCUUUUUAAAAAAAUCAUCCCUCGUCGCUAACUUAUUACGCAACAACCGCCAAGCAAAAACACCAAUCUUAGAGGGUAGAUCGUUUAGCCAAAGAUCGUUCAGAGCCAUCACAAUGUUAUAAUCCAAUAUUUCGGAAUGAUUAACAACAGCUAUAACAUUGUAACAAGAUUGAACAGAAAAGAUACCUGAUGUAUCCGCAAUCCAUCUACGCCGGUCAUCUUCCAUUAAAAUGGAUUUAAUACCUUGGAGCACCCCUUCUAACUCUAAUAAUUCUGCUGCUUCUGUGUUAGAUGAAGCGUCUCCCCAAUCCCAAUGUCAAGCCCAAUCUCCUCCCUUCCAACUACCUCUAUUAGCGACCGUAACCUCUUUGUUAUGUUCUCUGCAGAAAAGAAGAGGAAACUCAAGACAAAUAGGUUGUCUCCCAACCCAUUUAUGUUGCCAAAAGUUAAUGGUUGGGCCAUUUCCCAACACAUUGUUAACAUUAGAAGAAAAUCACCCGAUAUUUCCUUCAUUCUGCCCUCCAAUGGAACAAAUGCCCCUCCACCAAAUCGAGUUGUUUCCAGUCGCAACCCCAUAAUUAUUGCAUAAGAUAUUGUUUGGGAAGAGACCAUAUCUUGAGGAUAAGAGAUCAUACCAUAUAGUUUGGGUUUCAUUGAGACACCUCCACUUGCCUAGCAAAGCUUGGUUGAACCAAUCGAGUCUCUUAAUGAAUAAUCCUCCUUUCUCCUUCGGCAAACAUACCGUUUCCCAGCUCACCCAACAAAGUUUCCUAUCAUCUAGACCACCUCCCCAUAAGANNNNNNNNNNNNNNNNNNNNNNNNNNNNNNNNNNNNNNNNNNNNNNNNNNNNNNNNNNNNNNNNNNNNNNNNNNNNNNNNNNNNNNNNNNNNNNNNNNNNNNNNNAUAAAAACCGACCUCUCCAACUCAAAAGUUUAGACUUCAAGGAAUUUAUGAUAGGACUCCAAGUAACACAUCUUCUUGGAUUCGCCCCUACUGGUAUUCCCAAGAAGAGGGAUGAAAUGGAAUCAAUAUUACAUGAUAAAAAGUUGGAAGCAGCCCUCAUAAAACUUUCCUCUAAAUUAAUUCCAUAUAUCUUGUUUUUGAUGAAAUUAACCUUUAAACCCGAUACUAGCACAAAACUCUGCAGAAUGGACUUAAUACACCAUAAAUUUAUCCAAUUGUCUUCGCCUACAAGGAUUGUGUCAUUGAUCGGAUGACAACGUGACUGCAAGUAUACAGUCGUGUCGUGUAGUUUUAAAAAGAUAUCGAACCCAAAGGACCAAUAAUCGACCUACCGUUAUCUAAUGUUACUUUGUAAAUCUAAGGCUUAAUGAUUUNNNNNNNNNNNNNNNNNNNNNNNNNNNNNNNNNNNNNNNNNNNNNNNNNNNNNNNNNNNNNNNNNNNNNNNNNNNNNNNNNNNNNNNNNNNNNNNNNNNNNNNNNNNNNNNNNNNNNNNNNNNNNNNNNNNNNNNNNNNNNNNNNNNNNNNNNNNNNNNNNNNNNNNNNNNNNNNNNNNNNNNNNNNNNNNNNNNNNNNNNNNNNNNNNNNNNNNNNNNNNNNNNNNNNNNNNNNNNNNNNNNNNNNNNNNNNNNNNNNNNNNNNNNNNNNNNNNNNNNNNNNNNNNNNNNNNNNNNNNNNNNNNNNNNNNNNNNNNNNNNNNNNNNNNNNNNNNNNNNNNNNNNNNNNNNNNNNNNNNNNNNNNNNNNNNNNNNNNNNNNNNNNNNNNNNNNNNNNNNNNNNNNNNNNNNNNNNNNNNNNNNNNNNNNNNNNNNNNNNNNNNNNNNNNNNNNNNNNNNNNNNNNNNNNNNNNNNNNNNNNNNNNNNNNNNNNNNNNNNNNNNNNNNNNNNNNNNNNNNNNNNNNNNNNNNNNNNNNNNNNNNNNNNNNNNNNNNNNNNNNNNNNNNNNNNNNNNNNNNNNNNNNNNNNNNNNNNNNNNNNNNNNNNNNNNNNNNNNNNNNNNNNNNNNNNNNNNNNNNNNNNNNNNNNNNNNNNNNNNNNNNNNNNNNNNNNNNNNNNNNNNNNNNNNNNNNNNNNNNNNNNNNNNNNNNNNNNNNNNNNNNNNNNNNNNNNNNNNNNNNNNNNNNNNNNNNNNNNNNNNNNNNNNNNNNNNNNNNNNNNNNNNNNNNNNNNNNNNNNNNNNNNNNNNNNNNNNNNNNNNNNNNNNNNNNNNNNNNNNNNNNNNNNNNNNNNNNNNNNNNNNNNNNNNNNNNNNNNNNNNNNNNNNNNNNNNNNNNNNNNNNNNNNNNNNNNNNNNNNNNNNNNNNNNNNNNNNNNNNNNNNNNNNNNNNNNNNNNNNNNNNNNNNNNNNNNNNNNNNNNNNNNNNNNNNNNNNNNNNNNNNNNNNNNNNNNNNNNNNNNNNNNNNNNNNNNNNNNNNNNNNNNNNNNNNNNNNNNNUUGGCUGCACUUGUGUGGCCCUUUUUCGUCCGUUUUUGCUCCUUUUUAGUCCAUUUUUGCUCAUUUCUUCAAUUCGUGCACUAUUUAUCUGUUUAUUUAAAAUACGAGAAAUAAGUAACUAUUUAUAUAAUAAAACUUCGAAAUCAAAAUAAAAACAUAUAAAAUAUAAUAGUAAAUUAACUAAAUAAAUAGCAUCUUUUUAGGUGUAUCAGUCAUCCGCAAAUUGGAGGAUCAUUCUAGUAAGGCCUUCGGCUGCUAUAAGGAAAAGAAAAGGUGAUAAUUGAUCGUCUUGGCGUAAACCUUUUCCAACCUUGAAGUCUACCGUGGGGCUUCCAUUUACUAAGAUAGACAUAGAACUGUUGAAAAUGCAAGCUCGCAUCCACUUAAUCCAAAUAUCGGAGAAUCCCAUCCUCCUCAUCAUAUCUUCGAGAUAACUCCAGCUGAUGGUAUCAUAAACCUUUUCGAAAUCAACUUUCAUCAUGAAACAAUGUUGUUUUCUUCGCUUAGCAAUAUCUAUUAAUUCAUUAACAACCACCACGCCAUCAAAAAUCUGCCGAUGAGGUAGAAAAGCUGAUUGACAAACAGAAGAUAAACUUGCUCAAAACCUGUUUUAAGCAAUGGCUAGAAUUUUAGACAAAACCUUGUUAACGCACCCAAUGAGGCAGAGGGGCCGAUAAUCAUAUAGUUCCUGAGGACAUGCGAGAUUUGGAUAAUGAGAUCACAAUGAAUUCGCAUUCUUGCAACACAAUCCCACAAGGGGAAUAGAGUCCUACAUUUUUAAUAUUUAAUUACUAAAAUAUGGAGUCAACAAUAUUUACUAAAAUAAAUGGAGUCUACAUUAUUAAUAUUUAAGGGGAAUAGAGUCCUACAUUUUAAAGAUGCUGUCUACACUACAGUGUCCUACAUUUUAGGAGUCCUACAUUUGUCUACACAACAAUAUGUCUUUAUAUAAAUACAUAGAGACACUAAAUUUUAUAAAAUUCGAUAUCAAAAUACACAAAGAAAUUGGCCAUUUAUACCAAAUUACAGCUUAAAUAGUAUAGCAAUAUUUAAUUUAGCAAUGAAAACUUGAUCUUGUUAAAUUUGGAAAUGUCAAACAUAGUGGAAACCCAAAUAGUGAGAGACAUGAAUUUCAAUUUUUGUGAUCACCCAAUUUGUUCAAUCCCAUAAAUAAUUUUAAAAUCAAACAUAAUACAUUAUGUAUAUAUAAGAUUAGCUCCAAAGAAAGUAAAACUCAAAUACAGACUAAAACACUUAUGAAGGUCAUGGUGAAUAGCCACCCUAACUGGCAGGUGGGUAGUUGUUUCCUACAAAUACCCACAAAAAAUACAAUUUGACCCUUAAACAUCCCGAAUAACCUUGCGAAAAACAAGGUUAACACGAGUUGGAACUCUAUCUAACAAAAAUUGCUAAGAGAAACACAAUAUCCUUAGAAGGUUUUGAGCUUUUUCAAAGAUCAGAUCGAUACUAAUUAAUCUCAUCUUCCACAAAACAAUUUGACCCCGAAACAUCCCGAAUAACCCUGUAACGAAGGAUUUUAACACGAGGUAUAGGGAACCACAAGGGAUCCAUAUGCACCAUUGACCAGCUAUAUAUCUUCAUCCAUAAGAGAGUGUGAAAAAUGAGCUUUAUAGUUUAUAUAAUGGAUCCUCCUUUUCUUUAUAUGGAUUUCUUCUUUACGUCGAAAAGAAUCGAAGUGUGUGAAAAAUUAAAAUGGUUUAUGAUUUAAGAAAAUACGUGUAUGAGCACUCAAUACAUUGAACAUCAACAUGAACUUUUUGCAUGACUAUUCUUUCUAACUUCAAUGAAAAAUAUAUCAAUGAGUAUUGCUUUCAUGCAUCAUGCCACUUUGAAUUUGAAUCUUUAAUUGGCUUAAUUUUAUAUGAAAUUUGAUCCUCUACUGUCUUUUCUGUUAUGCCAUAUCUUUGCUGCUCUUCAUCUAAUGACUCGUAGUAAAAAACAUGAAUGGACGGUUGAGAUGAUAGCAGAACGAACAGCAAGAGAGGAUCAAGAUCCAUUUUAUAUUAAGACUGCAUGCACACAUAAUACAUUUAUCUCAAGAUAUGGUUAAUUCCAGGUUCAGAUGAACUCUCUUGUAAACCUGCAACAUAUAUAGUUAAAUAAAGACAUGAAUAUUCAGAAACAAAAAUAAUGUAAAAUAACUUUGCCUUUGGUCUUGCACACAAAAUUGUUUAGCAAAGUAUUAAUUACUUGAUGAUGAUAAUAUUGCAUCCGUAAGCUUUCUUUGCAGUUGAGAGUAAUCAAUCCCUGACAUUAUUGGAUCCUUCAAGAUGGUAUACAAAGGUGUUAGAACUACAACUAGUAACCAAAGAAAAGUAAAAAACAAAAAUCGCGCGCAAACAUUAAUAACGCAAGAUCAUUUGUUCAUGCAUACAUGCAGUUCUGCGAAGUGUGCCUACGACUACUGGAACUAUUUGUAGUUGUAGUUCCGUAUUAGUACUUGACUGCAUUUUUAAUAUUACAAGCCAUGUAUACGGUUCAAAUUAUUAGAAUACUCACUACGCUUGCACAACUCCCCCACCCGAUCCCCUCUUUUGUGUCUAUGAGUCAUACUCAAUAAAAUGAAUGUUAGUAAAUGAUUGUUCCAGCCAUGAUUUCAACUCGGGAUCUCUGAAACAACUUGUAUGUUAAUAUUUUGAGAAUAACUUAUGAAAACAACUUUCUUAUUUCCUUUUGAAGUGGCAUGCUCUAUACGUAUGAUAAACACUUAAUGGAAAUAAGCAUUUAUUCAAAAAUACCUUAAAAAGAAUAUUACAUGAAAUUUUGAAAUGAUAGAAAAACUAAAAUCACAAGAGCAGAAAAAAAAAGAAUAUUACUGUACUUUUUUUUUUAACGGAAAAUAUAUUAUUAAUAAUAAUUGGUCUCUGCACAAGACGAACAGAGGCCGGAAAAAGUGGAACUACACAACAAUGCUGAGUAACAAUUAAAUUGAGAAAUCAUACCUCAGAUCGUAUAGUGUAUAUGAAUCUUCCAUCUAUUUUGCUCGAAUUACUACUUAUCACAUUAAGCCCUUCUUUAAGCAGCAUAUCUAGCACUCUUGACAAAGGAAACAAACAUGUCUUGGAGGUGUAACUGCACACAAUCUCAAGUCCUCCAGGGAAAGGUUGAACAAUAACAAAGGGUUGAAGAUUGGUACUAGUAGUAGAGCCAUUUUGGUGGUGGAUAUUAUUCAAAUUAGACACCUUCAUUAAAUCUUCUUUCUUAUCUUGUAAUUGUUUCACAUUGUUUUGUAGGUGGUUGAUAUAAUUGAUAGCUUCAUUCACAUGAUCAGAAAUUGAGCGCUUUCCCUGUUGAUGAUCAUAAAUCAUCCCAAUAUACUUAAUAAUGAUUAUAUACUAUAUUUCCAAUUUCAAAUAGUAUAAAAAAAUUGGAAUUGAAUUCUCUACAUCUACAACUGCAGCACCGUGCUGCAGUUGCAACUAUAAAGAAUGAUAGAUUUAGAGACAAAAAACACUCUAAAUAUUUCUUUCUAUCUCUAAAUCUAACGGUCACUAGCCAUAAUAAAUAAUCUCACGGGUUAACGGCAAUUUAGUCUAGCAGAAUUAGCUAGUCCCUCGUCUCGUGAUGAAUUGAGACAUCAUAAAAAAUUGCGAUUUUGACAACAUAAAAAAAACUAUUACAUCACAAUUCAUGUAAAACUUCAUUUAAAACUCUACUAAUAACAUAUUGCCACCUUAUGAGACAUGUGAAUUUAACUGAAAAAUGACCUAAUAAAGAAAUAAACUUGAUUUACCUUAAUAUACUCUAAAGGAAGAAGAGAUCUAAGGGAUGUGCAGAGGUUGGCCAUCUCUUGCCUUCUUUGCUUUUCUGUCUCUUUAUGCAUCCAUUUCUUGACAUCUUCCAUGAUAACAAUAUAUAUCUAUUAUCUUGUGUUGAUAAUUUUUGAGGUUAUUUUUCAUGCAAGGAUCAUGCAAUUAUUGAUGAUCUUCUAAUAUUUGAGGAGGUUCCCAUGUGAGAAGGAAUAAUUUGUAGAUCAAAACUAAAAGACCAACUCAACUUUUAAUUAUUUGACUAUAGAUGGGUUAUGAUAGUGUAUAGUACUAUCUUUGUGGGGUUGACAAAGAUACUAUUACAAGGAAAUCGAAGUAUAUUUGGUUGUUAGGGUUUGAUAGUACUUUAAAUUUGCCAGAUAUGUUUGGAUUCUGAAAAUCAUUCAUAUAUAUGUAAGAUAAGAUCCAUCUCACCUGCCACAUAUAAGUGUUCUUAUUUAUAUUUUCUUCUACCUUACUAUAUUAUUAUUACUGUGGGACAUAUGUUCAUGAAACAAAAUAUUAUGGUGGGUCAUAGUGUUUUCUCUUUCUUUUGAAUGUGAACAAUCCACCUUUACUAAUUAAUUAUGAUAUUAAAAAAUGUUUUUCAUUGCACUCUUUAAAAUGGAUUUAUUGAUUUAUUAUUUUUUUUUAUGAACCAUCUACUUUUAGAGAGAGGUGACUUCAGUAAUUUAGAGAGUUUGGUCGCAAAUACAAGUAAAUUCUGAUAAAAACUUAUUUUUAUCAAAAUUUGAAUUCGAAUUUUCGAACAAUUCGUCAUGGAUAAAACUCUUUAACUAUUUGAACUUGAUGUCUUAGUUAAAUGGAUAUUGAUUUAAAAUAAGAGCAAACAAUUAUUUUCAUUUGUGAAUGUUUGACCCGCUCAGUCUCUAAAAUAUCGUAAUUUUUUUUUUAAGACAAAAUAUAUCAUAAUUAUAAAUAUAUGUUUUACCCUUUUUCAUUAGUAAUUUUACGAACUAAAAUGAUUGAAAAACACAUGCGUUUGAAGAUUAAAUCGACUAUUUAAAAUUACAUUUUUUUUUUUACCAAAAUGAUUGAUAAGAACGUAUUUGGUGAGGAUUUAAUACAUUCUCGUUUGUGGGUUGGUUUGAACUGGAGGUUUCCGACAGUCUCUUCCGCAGCGGUUCUUGUUAGCUUUAGUGGCGGUGCUGCGUUUGAGUUCUCAGUGGUGGUGUUGUGCGAUGGGUCUAGCGACUUCUUGGUGGUGGUGGUCGCGUUCUGUUUGGUCGUGGUGGUCACAUUUGUGUUUUGUUUGGCGGUGUGUGGUUCGAGUCGUGCUUGCGCUGUUUUGGUUCGUAACCUACUGUAGUUAUAGUGAUGGUGGUGGUGGUGGCAACAAUGUUUUGUUCGCCGGAUUUUAUUUUAACAGUGGAGUUUUGUGGUUGUUGCUUUUGUGUUUUGUUUCUGUCAGUGGUGUUUUCGAUUGAUACCGCGUGUGGUUGGUUGACUAGAGAUUUUGAUUCUCUGAUUGCUUUCAAAUUAGUUGAGAUUUACAGGUCUUUGGUUGACCACUACUGCGUCGGUGUCGACUGAUUUGUUUUCCUCGGGUCGUGUUCUGUUUCUUUGCGGUUGCGCGCUGCCACCUCGUGGUGGUAGUUGCUAGUCAGUGGUGUAUCGGUUUGUUGGCGCGUGCGGUGGUUUUCUAGAUAUUUGAUUCUCUGANNNNNNNNNNNNNNNNNNNNNNNNNNNNNNNNNNNNNNNNNNNNNNNNNNNNNNNNNNNNNNNNNNNNNNNNNNNNNNNNNNNNNNNNNNNNNNNNNNNNNNNNNNNNNNNNNNNNNNNNNNNNNNNNAUAUUUGAUUCUCUGAUUGUUUUUCUAAAUCUGUUGAGAUUUGCAGUAUUCAUGUCUCUGGUAGACCUCUACCGCGUCGAUGUCGACUAUCUAUUUUAUCCUCGGGUCGUGUUCUGUUUCUUUGAGCUGGGACUUGUCUGCAUAGGUUCUCAUUCUACCUUUGCCCCAUCAGCCUUGCGCCUUAUGGAGUUGUUUUUGGAUUAUGAUAGGUCGAUCGCUUUUGAUUUGAGAUCGAGAGUUAAUGUUUAAUAACAUCUUUUUAGGCCGGAUCGAUGUCUUCUCUGGUGGCCUGGAAUCUGAUGGGUUUCUUUCUAAUUAUGGGAGGAGAUAUACCUCGUUGAGGUGGUAUUUAUUUUAGUUUUUAUUGACGAUGUUCCGCAUAUAUACGGUACCUAUAUUAUAUAGUUCCUCUUUUACUAAUCUUUUUUCCUAUUAUUAACAAUACGUUUGCAAUUAAAAAAAAAAUUAAAAUUCAAGGUUGAUGGUGACAUCGCCUCAGAUGAAGAAAUUAAACUGGUUGUUUGUUAAUUGCGAUCGGGAGGGGGCUGAAACCACUUGAUGUCAGAACUGACCCCCGAACCAGAUUAAACUGGUGGUGAAAGCCAAAAAAAGAGUUUGGUAUUUUACUAAUAUAUUCUUAAUAAUUAUCGAUAUUUUUAUUAUACAAAUAUAAAUUAAAUAUCGGUUAAAUAUCUUUUCGGUCACUCUAAUUAUACUAACUUUCAUUUUUAGUCUCUUUAAAAAUUAUCUUUGAACUCUAAUCCUUCUAAUUUUUUAUUUUCAAUUUGAAUCCCUUAUUUUUUAUAAAAGUUCACAUAGCAUAUUUCAAGUGAGUUUUUCUUUAAGUAAGCAAUUCUGACAAUAAAAAAUGGAAUAUAUUAAUACCAGCUAAUAACUAGCACAAGAUGUGUCAGAGAGAGGCUCAAAAGUUUACAAACAUCGAGUACAUAGAGAAGCAAAAGCUCAAACAAUGUUCAGACAAACAAAAUAGUUCGACCAUCACAUAUGAAUGUUUAGACCAAUUAAGACAUGUGAUUAAUAAUUGAAGAGAACUAAUGAUAAUAACACCAUAUUUGUUCCAAAAAAACUACCAUAUUAAUGCAACGGAUACAAUUUAUUUUCCCUUAUAAUUAUGAGUGUUACAGAGCUGUCAAAAUGUGUUAGUUCGUUAUUGACCAGCCCGCCAAGCCUGUUAAAACAUAGGGUUCAAGGCUUCAUAAUUUGAUAUGGAAUUUUUAUAGGCUUUAUAAUCCGGCCUGAAAAAUCUGUAAAAACGGGCUAGUCCGUAUGGGCCACUUGUAACAAUCCGGACCCCUUUUCUACGUAUUUAGUAAGCAAUUCUAACACUGUACCUCACGAUAUUCUCUAAUCCCCUCUUUAGUAGAAUUUUUAUCUUCCGUGAAAAUCGAACUACGUACCUUGAAUUUCAAGUACAUGUUAAAUAUAUUUUCACUACCAAUUGAGCUCAAUUGGGAAUGGAUAACUUACUAAACUUAAUUUCUAAACUUUUCAUUGAAGAAAAAAUUAAAGUUUCAAAGAAAGAACUAAAUUUAUUUCUUUGAAAAAUUUGCUAAACUUAAUUUUUAUUAUUUUAAAAUAUAAAUUUUUCUUUGGAUAAUUUUAUAUAAGGCAUGUCACACAUUAAUUAAAUGUAGAUAUCAUUUUCAACUAAAAUUUGAACUUUGAUUUGUCCGUUUGGAUUUGAUUUAUUUUUUAGUUUAUGAAAAUUGUUUAGGUAAAUAAAUAAAUUUUUAUGUUAAUUUGUAAGUUUUCACUAAUAAAAAAUAUAUUUUUGUAAGUUGUUUUCUCAUAAACUGAUUGGCAAUGACCUGAUUGGCCACUCGAGGCAUCAUCGCCCAGAAGCUCAGUCUUGUGUGGCCAGUUGUGGAGCCAUGAAAUCAGCUCAGCACUUAUUUCUCUAUGGUCGUCAGUUAGGUCCUUGAUUGGCUUGUCAUCGGUUGAUCCCCCGCUUCUAUAAGAUCAUUUUCUCCAGUUUACUUAUUCAUCAGGUGUUUUGUGAGCUCGACGCUCGUUUUUGCAGCUUAUUUGGCUUUAUGUGUUUGAAUUAUUUGGAAUGAAAGAAAUCACAGAUUAUUUCAGAAUUCAGAGAUGUCUGAUCUUCAAUUGUUGGACAAGGUUAAGCUUUAUUCUUACUGGUGGUUGAAGACAACACAUAUCGAUCUAGUUUCAAACUUUCAUAGUUGGUGGUUGAGCUCGUUUAUUUGUUUGGGCCUGGAUUAAUUUGUGUAUCUUGUACGUAGUCUUCCUUGGUACAACUUGUGCUAAAUAGACUAUUUUGUCUGAUUCAUAUAUCUCAUUUUUACUUGAUAGAAGAAAAAAAAAACUUAUUUAUUUACAUUAAAAAAAUAAGUCAAUACAAAUGUUGUGGGAUUAUAAUUCUUCCGCUUAUCAAACUAUUUAGGCACGUAUAAAGUCUUGACCAAAAAGGAAAUAUACAUAAAUUUUAUUCGAUAUAUUUUUUUAUACGACAAGUAUUUUUUUUAUUAUAAAAAUUACCAUGUUACUAAAAUAUAACACUUUUUGUUUUACAAAAUAGUAUAACACUUUUAAAACUACUCUUAUUGUAGUUUAUAUAUUUAUUUGUAUAUUAUUAAAAUUAAUAGUGUCAUUAUCAUAAUAUUUACAACUCACUAGAGUGUGACUAAAACUGAUAAAAAAGAACAUAAACCAUCUUGAUACUCUUUGUGCAGGACCACAAUUUCUAAAGAAGCAUGCGAUAAUAUAGUAUGUUGUAACUUGUAAGUAAAACCACUAAAUUGUUGGGUCAUCAUGAGGGGGCAACUGGGGAUCAUUCACAUUGGGCUUAAGAACAACUCUACAAGUGAGUUGAACACCACAUUCUUACCCAAAACCUUAAGGUGUUAGGUUUAUGGGUCAUCUCACUUAUAAAGUGUUCAACCUCCACUUUUCUAAGCAAUGUGGGACUUAACCACUCACACUUGCCACAACAAUCUCCCCCUCAAUUAUGAGUCCAUCCACUCUUNNN
rnacentral:lncRNA from 1 species